rnacentral:misc_RNA from 1 species
GAAUUCCCAAUCUUUCUAUGGAUUAUCACAGCAUUAAGAACGAUCACACCGGAAGUCGUGGACAAAUCAUGAUGCGCAACAUUAACAGUCCUCCAUAUGGUCAUAGUUCUGGGGCCCCAAGAGUGUCUUUGCUAGAAGAACCUUAUGGAAAGGAUGAAUUGGACAUUAAUUUUCAAAUCCACAGCAUGGAAAAAGAGGCAUACUGUUCUGUUUUGAGGGCUUUCAAUGCCCAAUCUGAUCUCCUUUCCUGGGGUAAGGAGUGGCUCAUUACGGAGCUGCGGAAGGAACUUAAUGUCACAGAUUCUGAACACAGUCAACUGCUUGUGAAAAUUAAUUCAGACAAAUCAAUACAAAGGAUAAGGGAAUUGCAGAAACAUGCUCAUGAAUCACUCUCUGGUAAAUUGAAUUAUUCUGGCCUUGUUGAUUCAGUAGACAAUACUCCCCCAAAAAAGAGGAGGCCUUCUUGUCCUCCUCCUUCGAAGUCCCAGAAAUAUGUACUACAUCACCAACCUUCUUUGGCAACUAUACCCUCGUUGGCACCAACAAACUUCAAGGAUGAUCAACAACUUGGUGAAUUUGCAGUGCUCUCCUCUGUACAGUCUAUGAAGGUAGUUAAUCAUAAUUUUCAAGGACCACUUAGCAACAAAAGAGGACCAGCACAAUCUCAUGUCAAGAAGGGUAUUCAUACGCCUGAUUCUUGUAAAUUCAAGAAUCGUUCUGAGUUCAUUGAGAUUCGUGCAACAGAUACAAUUAUUCAUGAGGUUGAGAGGAUGACCUAUGGUAGAGAAAACCCUGACCCUGUUCAAGUUGAGAAGGCAAAAUUGAUCUUAAGAGAUCAUGAAAGAGCUAUACUUGGGGCACUUGAUAAACUUGCUAAUGUGUCAGAUGUGGAUGAUUCUCCCAAUCAACUGCACUACUCCUAUGAGGAGCCUCAUGGAAACAAACACAAUGUUGGUGAGUGGUGACUUCCUCGGGCAAGUGGUAGAUUGCAUAGCUACCUUACUGAAGGGUUUUAUCGUACCUAUUUUGCAAGAGGGUAUCAUUGUGCAAGCUGAUGAGGAGAUACUAUGACUCGGGCUAGUUAUUCAAAAUUAUUAACCAUAUAUGAAGUCAUGUAGAUAUUGAGCCUGAUAACUGAAACUGUUGAAGACAAUUCAAUGCGUAGAAAU